UGGUAAGUGGCUCAGUGGUAGAGUGCUUGCUUUGCAUGCAUGAGACUCUGGGUUCAAUUUCUCAGUAUCACAU
rfam:Dipodomys ordii contig_60223, whole genome shotgun sequence.